rnacentral:rRNA from 1 species
ACCCGCUGAACUUAAGCAUAUCAAUAAGCGGAGGAAAAGAAACCAACAGGGAUUGCCUCAGUAACGGCGAGUGAAGCGGCAACAGCUCAAAUUUGAAAUCUGGCCUUUACGGUCCGAGUUGUAAUUUGUAGAGGAUGUUUUGGGUACCGCCGUGGUUUAAAUUUCUUGGAACAGAAUGUCAGAGAGGGUGAGAGUCCCGUCUUGGAUCGCGGUAGGGCCUGUGUAAAACUCCUUCGGCGAGUCGACUUGUUUGGGAAUGCAGGUCAAAAUGGGUGGUAAAUUUCAUCUAAAGCUAAAUAUUGGCCAGAGACCGAUAGCGCACAAGUAGAGUGAUCGAAAGAUGAAAAGCACUUUGAAAAGAGAGUUAAACAGUAUGUGAAAUUGUUGAAAGGGAAGCGCUGGCAACCAGACUCGUGCGCGGGGUUCCCCCUUGCUUCUGCUUGGGUCAUUUCCCCGUGUCCGGGCCAUCAUCAGUUUCGGGGGCCGGUCAAAGGCCUUGGGAAUGUAUCUACUCCUCCGGGGGUAGACUUAUAGCCCAGGGUGUCAUGCGGCCACUCGGGACUGAGGAACGCGCUUCGGCGAGGAUGAUGGCGUAAUGGUUGU